ACCGCCUCCAAGCUACAGCGGCGCCGCCGAAGCCAAGAGCGGCGCCUUCCGCAGAGGGACUGCGGCUUUCUGCGCAGCGCCCCCUACCUGACAGGCGGGAAAGCGCCGCGCAACUCAGACCACUGGAGGUGAGUUGUACCUGGAGUUUCUGUAACGUCCUCUCCCCUUUUUUUUUUUUUUAAAGCCAGAGCCUCUGUCGCCCAGGCUGCAGUACAGUGGCGUAAUCUCAGCUCACUGCAACCUCUGCCUCCUGGGAUCAAGCGAUUCUCCUCCCUCAGCCUCCCGAGUAGCUGGGAUUACAGGUUCAAGAGAUUCUUCUGCCUCAGCCUCCCAAGUAGCUGGCACUGCAGACACGCACCACCACACCCAGGCUACACAGAACAACAUCAUUAGCAACAUUGUUUCAGCAAGGAAAUAAUCCUUAUUGGCAAAGGGAAACCAAGGAAAGAAAACUAUUGUUUUCUUCGGCUACAUGCUGUCUGCAAAGCACCCCAUGGAUUCAAUUUCUCAUCAAUUCAGAAUGGAAUACUAACGUGCUGCCUAGAGAUACAGAAGUGGGAUGAACGCAGGGCCUUACUCAGCAUUCAGAACAAAACUGAUGGUGCUAGCAUAUAUAAGACUGAAACACCAAAGUCCUCCGUGGAAGUUAAUGAAUUUCUGGUUAUGAGUUGGAUUCUUCAGCGGAGUAUUUGAGCCAUGCCUUGAGGCACAUACUUCAAGUUGCUGCAUCCAGUUUUAAACUCCAGAUUGAGCUUUACAUAUUAAAUGUGCACAUUUGUUUUCACAUUUUUGAGCUUUGCCAGUGGCACCCUCUCUAAUUAAUCAUCCCGCAGGCUUAGAAAACUUCUGCCCAAUCCUUUCUGAUUUGUUAAAAGAAAGAGAGAAGGUUUUAGUCUGAAAAAGGCCUUAUCUGAUAGACAUCACAUUAUACGGAUUUUUACAUUUAAGUACAUUUUCUUUUUAAAUCCGGUGGCUUUCCCAAACUAGAAAGAUGGAGUGUUUGCAUACAUCCACCAACCACCAACAUCAGCAGAAAGAAAGCUUGAUACAGUAAAGGAAAGAAAUGGCAAUUUAACAGUUCUUUUAUUUUCCAUUCAGAUCACAUACACAUUAACCAAAUGAGGCCUCACAGCAUGGAAUCUGAUAUCAUAGCAAUGUUUUCAGGAAGCAAUAAUUGAAUACUUCUCAUUAAAAAGGUUCAUAAAAGAAUCCUGUUAAAACCAAUACGAAUAAUAAACCUUGAAAAUGCUGCUUUAAAUUCCAGGAGGAUGGCGAAGAUCUGCGUCAGUAACAGUCUUCCUGUUCAUAGAGUGAUUUUGAAAAUCUCGUGGGCUGAAUUUUUCCAAGCCAAGCAGGCAUCUCACUAUCCAGUGAAAGACCCAGGGACUAUUUUAAAUGCAUUCAAUCCAAGCCUGUGCCUUUCACAGUCAGUUUUCCCCAAGAAUUUAUCCCUAAUCCUGACAGGAUACCCAACCAAAAGGCUAAUUAUUUUUAGUCACUUAAUUAAUAGAUAAUUCUUACAAAGAGCCCAACACCUGAACCCCCCAAGUCCUCUUUGCAUGGGCAAAUCCAGCUGGUUUGAUGCACUAAUUUCACUAAAUGAAAAUUUGGACAAAUUGUAUGUUACUGCAAAUAAUGGUAAAUGUAUCCAAUUCAAAAAAUAGUAAUAAAAAGGUUAUUUUUUUGUUCCCUUUUUAAUCACAGAGGCAGCUGUGGUAGACCCCAAAUGCACAGGGCAUAUGGCUCACCUCACCACCCCAGAUGGUGCUACUGGCCCAGCCUUCCCAGCGUCCACCCUGGCAGUCUUUCCUCAUUCCCUUGGCCCUCACCCUGUCUCCUCAGCCUUCCAGCUGCACUGCUACUGUAGGCUGCUCUUUCUCGACAAUCUCCUCUUAUUUUCUGUGAUGUAUCAGGAUGUUUCUUCUUCUCAGGGGUUUUCCAAGCUUCUUCCACACUCAGGUGCUCAGACCUUUUUAUGGUCUGGCUUCUGAAGGAGAUCAAAAUUCAUAUGGACAGGCAUUUGUGUAUUAGCCAAGAGUUGCUAAUGCAUUUCUUGAUCAUAAGUCUCAGAGAAAUGGGAUGAAAGAUCUUAGAUUUUUAUACACUCUGCUUCAAUGAUUUCUCAGCUUUUCUGAUCUGAAAAGAAUAAAGGACACCUUUUAGCUAAGCACUUUCUGUUUUAUUUCUUAUAAUGCCAUGUAGUGGCUGUUAUUGCCAACACAGCAGUCAUUUAAUAAACCCUGAAUGUCUGUAGCA
rnacentral:lncRNA from 1 species